AACGUAGGAGACAAACGUUAUCCGGAGUUACUGGGCGUAAAGGGCGUGUAGGUGGUUUCGUAAGUCUGGCGUGAAAUUUUUCGGCUUAACCGGGAAAGGUCGUCGGAUACUGCGGAGCUAGAGGACGGUAGAGGCGUGUGGAAUUCCGGGUGUAGCGGUGGAAUGCGUAGAGAUCCGGAAGAACACCGGUGGCGAAGGCGGCCUGCUGGGCAGUAGCUGACGCUGAGGCGCGACAGCGUGGGGAGCAAACAGG
rnacentral:rRNA from 1 species